UGGGGAAUAUUGCACAAUGGGCGCAAGCCUGAUGCAGCAACGCCGCGUGAACGAUGAAGGUCUUCGGAUCGUAAAGUUCUGUUGCAGGGGAAGAUAAUGACGGUACCCUGUGAGGAAGCCCCGGCUAACUACGUGCUAGCAGCCGCGGUAAUACGUAGGGGGCUAGCGUUAUCCGGAUUUACUGGGCGUAAAGGGUGCGUAGGUGGUCUUUCAAGUCGGUGGUUAAAGGCUACGGCUCAACCGUAGUUAGCCUCCGAAACUGGAAGACUUGAGUGCAGGAGAGGAAAGUGGAAUUCCCAGUGUAGCGGUGAAAUGCGUAGAUAUUGGGAGGAACACCAGUAGCGAAGGCGGCUUUCUGGACUGCAACUGACACUGAGGCACGAAAGCGUGGGUAGCAAACAGG
rnacentral:rRNA from 1 species